UGAGUUGAGUUGAGUUGAGUUGCUUUGGCAGUUCGGCUUUUGGAGAAGUGAACAAAUUUUUAACCAAUACAAAUCAAUGAAUUAAGCUCACAAAGAGACAAGAAUCACUUUGAUAACGAGAUUUUUUUUUUUUUCUAUGCAAACUCUCAGAAACCAAAUUUACAAAAAUGUAUAACAAGUUAUCAUGGUCCCCCUGGCUAGAUAAUGUAAAUAACUUA
rnacentral:misc_RNA from 1 species